GGCAGGAUAGUCUAGUGGCAAUGACAGGAGACUGUAAAUCUCCCCUCAAUCGAGUUCGUAGGUUCGAGUCCUACUCCUGCCACCA
rnacentral:tRNA from 3 species